rnacentral:rRNA from 1 species
GAAGGGGGCUAGCGUUGCUCGGCAUCACUGGGCGUAAAGCGCACGUAGGCGGAUUGCUAAGUCAGGGGUGAAAUCCUGGAGCUCAACUCCAGAACUGCCUUUGAUACUGGCGAUCUCGAGUUCGGGAGAGGUGAGUGGAACUGCGAGUGUAGAGGUGAAAUUCGUAGAUAUUCGCAAGAACACCAGUGGCGAAGGCGGCUCACUGGCCCGAUACUGACGCUGAGGUGCGAAAGCGUGGGGAGCAAACAGG